GACAGAGGGUGCAAACGUUGUUCGGAAUUACUGGGCGUAAAGCGUGUGUAGGCUGCCCCGAUAGUCGGAUGUGAAAGCCCUGGGCUCAACCUAGGAAGUGCAUUCGAUACUCCGGAGCUUGAGUCCUGGAGAGGAAGGCGGAAUUCUCGGUGUAGAGGUGAAAUUCGUAGAUAUCGAGAGGAACACCGGUGGCGAAGGCGGCCUUCUGGGACAGUGACUGACGCUGAGAACACGGAAAGCGUGGGGAGCAAACAGG
rnacentral:rRNA from 1 species